rnacentral:tRNA from 1 species
UGGUCCAGUGGCUAAGACUCUGCACUCCCAAUGCAGGGGGCCCUGGUUCAAUCCCAGG